rnacentral:lncRNA from 1 species
AUGACACCCUCUUGUGGCCAGCACAGCAUAUACAUGUACUUUGAUACAUGUAAGCAAAACACUCAUACAUAUAAAAUAGAAAGAAUAGAUCAGCUAGGGUUCCUGGGAGACUCUUUUUCAAAAAAAAAAAAAAAAAAAUUCAAUACUGAUUUGAAAAGCAUACAAUUAUAUUUUACUCUAUUGCAGGGGAACAUUGUUCUUACAGAUUAUGAGUACCUCAUUUUAAAUAUCCUAAGGUUUCGAACUGAUGACUCAGAUGAUGUUAAGUUUGCUGUGCGUGAACGCUAUCCAGUUGAUCUUGCUCGAGCUGCUGAACCUUUACUUACUUUGGAAAGAUUGACUGAAGUAAUAGCUAAUGCUCCCAAGGGUGAACUACUGAAGAGAGUUCUCACCCCAUUACUUCGUGAGUAAUCCUGCAUAUAACAAUAAAUAAUGUGAUAGUGUCUUCAGGAAUAUAUCUAAAUAUUUUAUGUUCUGAUGAAAAAUUUGAACAAGAAGGCUAGAGACAUGACUCAGCUGGUAAGAGCACUUGCUGAGGACUUGAAUUCAACUCUCAGCACCCAUGUUGGGCAGCUCACAGCCACCUCUAGCUCCAGUUCCAGG